rnacentral:rRNA from 1 species
UGCCCAGGGGACGUGGAUAACCUCGGGAAACUGAGGAUAAACCGCGAUAGGUCAUCACUUCUGGAAUGGGUAAUGACUUAAACCUAUAUGGCCCCUGGAUUGGACUGCGGCCGAUCAGGCUGUUGGUGAGGUAAUGGCCCACCAAACCUGUAACCGGUACGGGCUCUGAGAGGAGGAGCCCGGAGAUGGGCACUGAGACAAGGGCCCAGGCCCUAUGGGGCGCAGCAGGCGCGAAACCUCUGCAAUAGGCGAAAGCUUGACAGGGUUACUCUGAGUGAUUUCCGUUAAGGAGAUCUUUUGGCACCUCUAAAAAUGGUGCAGAAUAAGGGGUGGGCAAGUCUGGUGUCAGCCGCCGCGGUAAUACCAGCACCCCGAGUGGUCGGGACGUUUAUUGGGCCUAAAGCAUCCGUAGCCGGUUCUACAAGUCUUCCGUUAAAUCCACCUGCUUAACAGAUGGGCUGCGGAAGAUACUAUAGAGCUAGGAGGCGGGAGAGGCAAGCGGUACUCGAUGGGUAGGGGUAAAAUCCGUUGAUCCAUUGAAGACCACCAGUGGCGAAGGCGGCUUGCCAGAACGCGCUCGACGGUGAGGGAUGAAAGCUGGGGGAGCAAACCGGAUUAGAUACCCGGGUAGUCCCAGC